rnacentral:lncRNA from 1 species
UUGUGUGUAGAUUCAAUUGCAAAUCUCAGAUAGAGCCCGUCGACCUCUAUCCAGACCAGCUCAUCGAGUUUUUCUCUGAGCCAUACUCUUACAUAUGAUAAUCUACGGGACCUCCCCAGUCCGUCGAUCAAUAUCCAGACUAGCUCGUUGAGUUUUUCUUCGAGCUAUACUUCUGCGAAGGACAACCUACGAAACCUUCGUCGUCCAUCGAUCACUAUCUGGGCUAGCUCGUCGAGUUUCUCUCUGAGCCAUACUUCUGUGGAGGACAACCCACGAGACCUCCGCAGUCUGUCGAGUUAUCUUCGGAUCCUCCAGUCCAUCGAUCUCUAUCCAGAUCAGCUCGUCGAGUUUUUCUUUGAGCCAUACUCCAACGGAGGACAACCUACGAGACCUUCGCAACCCAUUGAUCUCUAUCCGAGUCAGCUCGUCGAGUUUUUCUCCAAAUCAGACUCCUACAGAGGACAACCUAUAGGACCUCUGCAGUUCGUCAAAUUAUCUCUGGAUCCUCCAACCCAUCGAUCUCUAUCCGAGUUAGCUCAUCGAGUUUUUCUGUGAGCCAUACUCCUGUGGAGGACAACCUACAGGACCUCCAUAGCUCGUCGAGUUUUCCUCCAAACUGUACUCCUGUAGAGGACAACCUAUAGGACCUCCACAGCCCAUCGAGUUAUCUCUGAAUCCUCCAG